rnacentral:rRNA from 1 species
GACAGAGGGUGCAAGCGUUGCUCGGAAUUACUGGGCGUAAAGCGCACGUAGGCGGCUUGUUAAGUCGGGGGUGAAAUCCUGGAGCUCAACUCCAGAACUGCCUUCGAUACUGGCGAUCUCGAGUUCGGGAGAGGUGAGUGGAACUGCGAGUGUAGAGGUGAAAUUCGUAGAUAUUCGCAAGAACACCAGUGGCGAAGGCGGCUCACUGGCCCGAUACUGACGCUGAGGUGCGAAAGCGUGGGGAGCAAACAGG